GCCCGUAUAGCGAAAUGGUAUCGCGCCAGUUUCGUAAACUGGAGAUUGAGGGUUCAAUUCCCUCUACGGGCU
rnacentral:tRNA from 1 species